UAGGGAAUCUUCCGCAAUGGGCGAAAGCCUGACGGAGCAACGCCGCGUGAGUGAUGAAGGUCUUCGGAUCGUAAAACUCUGUUAUUAGGGAAGAACAAAUGUGUAAGUAACUAUGCACGUCUUGACGGUACCUAAUCAGAAAGCCACGGCUAACUACGUGCCAGCAGCCGCGGUAAUACGUAGGUGGCAAGCGUUAUCCGGAAUUAUUGGGCGUAAAGCGCGCGUAGGCGGUUUUUUAAGUCUGAUGUGAAAGCCCACGGCUCAACCGUGGAGGGUCAUUGGAAACUGGAAAACUUGAGUGCAAAAGAGGAAAGUGGAAUUCCAAGUGUAGCAGUGAAAUGCGCAGAGAUAUGGAGGAACACCAGUGGCGAAGGCGACUUUCUGGUCUGUAACUGACGCUGAUGUGCGAAAGCGUGGGGAUCAAACAGG
rnacentral:rRNA from 1 species